UACAGAGGUCCCAAGCGUUGUUCGAAUUCACUGGGCGUAAAGGGUGCGUAGGCGGUCGGGUAAGUCUGAUGUGAAAUCUCACAGCUUAACUGUGAAACUGCAUUGGAUACUAUCCGGCUCGAGGAAUGGAGGGGAGACUGGAAUACUUGGUGUAGCAGUGAAAUGCGUAGAUAUCAAGUGGAACACCAGUGGCGAAGGCGAGUCUCUGGACAUUUCCUGACGCUGAGGCACGAAAGCCAGGGGAGCAAACGGG
rnacentral:rRNA from 1 species